CUCUCCUGUACAGCAAGGCAUGCUGGGAAAAAGCCAUGCAGGCUAAGUUCCCCACACAGUCCUCUGUAGUAAAACCCCUGCAAUGUCAUUCAGGAAACCCCUUGCAUGGGGACUUGCUUAAAUACUGUGACCGUGGAAUAAAAUGACAGUUGGCUCCCAGACUAUGUGUCAUCUAGUCCUUGGGGAAGAGGGAUUAUUAUUACGCUGCCUGUGUUUUACCUGCUUUAUCCUGACUACCAGCGGAG
rnacentral:lncRNA from 1 species